CCCUUAGAUGUUCUGGGCCGCACGCGUGCUACACUGAGUGGAUCAGCGGGUCAGGUUACGCGAGAGCGUUUCCUAAUCUUCAAAUCCGCUCGUGAUGGGGAUUGACGGUUGCAACUUUCCGUCAUGAACGAGGAAUACCUUGUAAGCGCGGGUCAUCAUCCCGCGCUGAAUACGUCCCUGCCCUUUGUACACACCGCCCGUCGCUCCUACCGAUUGAGUGGUCCGGUGAGGCUUUGGGAUCUAAGCGAAAAGAGCGUUUCGCUCCUUUUGCUGGGAGAACUCAGUCGAACCUUAUCAUUUAGAGGAAGGAGAAGCCGUAACA
rnacentral:rRNA from 1 species